GUCUAAGUAUCAUUAAGUGAAUACAUAGCUUAAUGAGGGGAACGCAGGGAACUGAAACAUCUAAGUACCUGAAGGAAGAGAAAGAAAUUCGAUUCCGUAAGUAGCGGCGAGCGAACGCGGAUUAGCCCAAACCAAUAAAGUUUUCUUUAUUGGGGUUGCGGACAUAUCAUAACGAAGAGGUAUCGUAAUUGAAGAGGUUUGGAAAGACCCACCACAGAAGGUAAUAGUCCUGUAUGUUAAACGAGAAGACUUUAGGUAUGAUCCAGAGUACCACGGGACACGUGAAACCCUGUGGGAAGCAGGAGGGACCACCCUCCAAGGCUAAAUACUACCUAGUGACCGAUAGCGUAUAGUACCGUGAGGGAAAGGUGAAAAGAACCCCGGGAGGGGAGUGAAAUAGAACCUGAAACCCUGCACUUACAAGCUGUGGAAGCACAUUUCUUGUGUGACCGCGUACUUUUUGUAGAACGGGCCAACGAGUUACGUUAAGUAGCAAGGUUAAGCACUUAAGGUGCGGAGCCGUAGCGAAAGCGAGUUUUAACUGAGCGUUCAGUUACUUGACGUAGACCCGAAACCGGGCGACCUACCCAUGAGCAGGAUGAAGCGAAAGUAAAAUUUCGUG
rnacentral:rRNA from 1 species